GAUGAACGCUGGCGGCGUGCCUAAUACAUGCAAGUCGAGCGAACGGACGAGAAGCUUGCUUCUCUGAUGUUAGCGGCGGACGGGUGAGUAACACGUGGAUAACCUACCUAUAAGACUGGGAUAACUUCGGGAAACCGUAGCUAAUACCGGAUAAUAUUUUUAACCGCAUGGUUCAAAAGUGAAAGACGGUCUUGCUGUCACUUAUAGAUGUAUCCGCGCUGCAUUAGCUAGUUGGUAAGGUAACGGCUUACCAAGGCAACGAUGCAUAGCCGACCUGAGAGGGUGACCGCCCACACUGGAACUGAGACACGGUCCAGACUCCUACGGGAGGCAGCAGUAGGGAAUCUUCCGCAAUGGGCGAAAGCCUGACGGAGCACCGCCGCGUGAGUGAUGAAGGUCUUCGGAUCGUAAAACUCUGUUAUUAGGGAAGAACAUAUGUGUAAGUAACUGUGCACAUAUUGACGGUACCUAAUCAGAAAGCCACGGCUAACUACGUG
rnacentral:rRNA from 1 species